rnacentral:rRNA from 1 species
AUUGAACGCUGGCGGCGUGCUUAACACAUGCAAGUCGAUCGGUAACAGGUGUAGCAAUACAUGCUGACGAGAGGCGGACGGGUGAGUAAUGCUUGGGAAUCUGCCUAUUAGUGGGGGACAACCCGGGGAAACUCGGGCUAAUACCGCAUACGCUCUACGGAGGAAAGCCGGGGACCGCAAGGCCUGGCGCUAAUAGAUGAGCCCAAGUCGGAUUAGCUAGUUGGUAGGGAACGGCCUACCAAGGCGACAAUCCGUAGCUGGUCUGAGAGGACGACCAGCCACACCGGAACUGAGACACGGUCCGGACUCCUACGGGAGGCAGCAGUGGGGAAUAUUGGACAAUGGGGGCAACCCUGAUCCAGCGACGCCGCGUGGGUGAAGAAGGCCUGCGGGUUGUAAAGCCCUUUCGGGUAGGGGAAGAAAAGUCUCGACCUAAUACGUCGGGACCUUGACGUAACCCACUAAAGAAGCACCGGCUAACUCUGUGCCA